rnacentral:tRNA from 1 species
GGGGGUAUAGCUCAGUGGUAGAGCAUUUGACUGCAGAUCAAGAUGUCUCAGGUUCAAAUCCUGGUGCCCCCU